UACGUAGGCAGCGAGCGUUGUUCGGAGUUACUGGGCGUAAAGGGGUGCGUAGGCGGUUGUUUUAAGUUUGGUGUGAAAUCUCCCGGCUCAACUGGGAGGGUGCGCCGAAUACUGAAUGACUCGAGUGCGGGGAGAGGAGAGUGGAAUUCCUGGUGUAGCGGUGAAAUGCGUAGAUAUCAGGAGGAACACCGGUGGUGUAGACGGCUCUCUGGACCGUAACUGACGCUGAGGCACGAAAGCGUGGGUAGCAAACAGG
rnacentral:rRNA from 1 species